CAGACGCCAACUGGAUAACGGUUUUAUCGUGGAGACACAAUGGCCAGCCUUCACAGCGGAAAACCACAUCCGAGUAUCCAGCCUGGGAAUAAAACACAAAGAUGCUGCAGUAAAAACAAGCUUCAUACUCACACAUGCAGCCUGCUGGACACUCUCCAGCAGAUGUUUGGAAGGAAUCAGGAAGUCCAGCAGGCACUGCAGGGCAUCGCCAUGGUAGCGUUCCUCUAUGGUCCGAAAGAGCUGGCUGAUGACGAUGGGUGCAGUGACCUCAAAAGGAGGGAAGAGGGCCGACAGGGCAGUCUGGAUGGACAGGUCCAGAGAUUCUGGAUUCUGGAGACAAGUCAAAGUCAAGGCUGAUGAUUUCAUGCAGACCCUCUCAACAUACGUCACCUUCUUGGGUUUAGUAGAGGAAGCUUUGAGCACCUGCUGAUCGGAAAGUUGACUUUCAGUUUACGUGUGGAUGUGUCUCUUGGGUGGGAAGUUAAAACGGCCAUUUGGCACAACAAAUGCAUGCAGUGGAGCAGCCAUAAAAGCAGCCAACCAUGAAGCAGAAGGGCUGCAGCAGCAGGAGGCCAAACUUGGACAAUCAAACCACCUUUUUGCGGGAAACUGACGCCGCAUGUCAGACGAAAAAAGAGCGUUUUUUUAAGAGCCUCAUUGUUGCAGUAUUUGGUUUGCAGGAUGUAAAUAACUAUUUUAAAAAACUAUCAUAUUAAACAUAUUUGUCGAUAAAAAGUCAAAGUACAUUUAAUUUAAAAUGUUUUCUCAUCAGUAUGCUACCUGGAGAAGGAUAUAUUAGCUAAAAUGUUGAUUAUUUCCUGAAAAGACUAUAGAAAACAACAGUUUAAGUAAAUUGUAAAUUUAGGCCGGACUUGUUUAGCAGGAUUACUUUUCACAAUAAUAGCAUAAGUAAACAAACAUUCUGAGACUGGUAUUCUACAUUUUUCGGUGUUUUUCUGUUGUCGAUGUUCAAGUUUUCUACUAUUACAGAUGUUAUUUUUAAUUGGGACACAAUCAGAAGAAGUGUGUAAACCCAGCAGAUACUACUUAAAUAAAUAAAGUUUUUUUAGAUUCCUUUCAAAAUAGUGUUUUUGGUCACAUUUUAAACCAAAACCAGUGAUAUAUAUCUUUAAAUGUUCUGCAGAGAUCCACCCAACCUCCUUAUACAAAGAACAACAACAAAGAAAAGUUACAAAGAACAUACAUAGUGUACAGUCAAAUAAGAUGAUUCUGAGUUGAAGUGCAAACAUUUUCUGCAUGUUUAUUUUGUCAAUACUUAAUUUAUAGAUUAUUUGUAGAAGAAAAGUAUAUGGUCCAUGAUAAAUUCAGGCGAAGACCAAAAACAAAACAUCUGUCUAUCCAUCUUCAGAAACCCUGUAAUUUGGGUUGCUGGAGCCUUUCCCAGCUACUGUUGGAUGAAAAGCUUGCCAGUGUGUUGCAGGGUCACACACCUCACCUUUACACCUUGGGGCAAUUUGGAGACACCAGUGAACCUAUGAAUCAUGAUUUUUGCCUGUGGGAGGAAACGGGAAAGCCCGAAAAAAAAAAAACACGCAACCAAAAGGAAGCACGCACACAGAAGGGACGCAGCUGGGAUUUGAACCAGCACCUUCUUGCUGUGAGGCAACCACUACCCCGCCGGGCAGCCCUGUAAAGUUUAAUGAAUUUUAUUUAGUUAUUUAAAGAAUUUAUGCUAACAUUCAGAAAAACUUGAAGAUGUUAAACAAAAGUUUUUUUCUUCUGCGAAAUGUUUUCUACAUCAAAAA